GGAGACGGGGGUGAGCAAAAAAAAAAAGAAAGAAAAAAGUUAGCUCCUCCUCUUUCUCCUCCAUCUCCCUCUUUCCUUCUCUCUCACUGGGAAAGUUAACAGCACUCUGCCACGUCAAGCUUACGAGUUGCCGCUGUGCCACCCGGUAGGAACGGGACAACGCGCUCCGUUCUCCGUCUUUUUUCCAAGUCAGAACGUGUACAUGUUGCGUUUUCAAGGGAAAGUCUCGGGACUUCAACUCAGAGACAGUCGUUUUUUCCUCUGAACGAACCUCAGGGCCCGGAGAUAGACCUGAACUUCUAUAACUUGUAUAAUUCCAUACUUUUACGGCCUGGCUGUCUGACUUCAAGUACCGCCCGGCUGAAGCGUCUCACUCUGACUGGAGAGGGGAAGACGGAUGGGAUGGGGAUGGGUGAAGUGUGAAGAGAAACAUCUGUGCUGAAUCUAUCCAGCUUUGCACUCAAGAAGAGUCCUGAGAGGAGGGAAAGACUGGAACUUUUGGGAGGCAGGACGGAGCGCUGAAAGCACCAUCGCUGCAGCAGCCAUCACUUCUCACUUGAUAUGGUAAAGCACACAGAUAUCUCUAAUCUCUGAAUUAAUCAGACGUCCAGGAUAUGAGAGCAUGUGUGUGCAAAUUGGUCCGGGAAUGGAGUAAGAAGGUUGAAAUAGAGAGGACAUUGACCUGUCCCGCCUGCCCAGUGUUCAGACUACCUGUUCAGGAAGUAGCGGUUGUACAGUAGUCUGCACAUUGGUUAGGCUGGGUGGGGAAACGCGAGAGUCGGUCCUCGUCAUCGCUGACAACGCAAACCUAUCGACCAAUCAACAGCUUGUCAUGCUUUACUGAUGAACUGUGAUGUGUAAUUCUUUAAUAAAUCCAUCAAAUUCAA